rnacentral:rRNA from 1 species
AUACGUAGGGGGCGAGCGUUGUCCGGAAUGAUUGGGCGUAAAGGGCGCGUAGGCGGCCUGUUAAGUCUGGAGUGAAAGUCCUGUUUUCAAGAUGGGAAUUGCUUUGGAUACUGAUGGGCUUGAGUGCAGGAGAGGUUAUCGGAAUUCCCGGUGUAGCGGUGAAAUGCGUAGAGAUCGGGAGGAACACCAGUGGCGAAGGCGGGUAACUGGACUGCAACUGACGCUGAGGCGCGAAAGUGUGGGGAGCAAACAGGAUUAGAUACCCUGGUAGUCCACGCGGUAAACGAUGAAUGCUAGGUAUUGGCAUCCUAAGGGUGUCGGUGCCGCAGUUAACGCAGUAAGCAUUCCACCUGGGGAGUACGUUCGCAAGAAUGAAACUCAAAUGAAUUGACGGGG